CUAUACAUGCAGUCGAGCGGACAGAUGGGAGCUUGCUCCCUGAUGUUAGCGGCGGACGGGUGAGUAACACGUGGGUAACCUGCCUGUAAGACUGGGAUAACUCCGGGAAACCGGGGCUAAUACCGGAUGCUUGUUUGAACCGCAUGGUUCAAACAUAAAAGGUGGCUUCGGCUACCACUUACAGAUGGACCCGCGGCGCAUUAGCUAGUUGGUGAGGUAACGGCUCACCAAGGCGACGAUGCGUAGCCGACCUGAGAGGGUGAUCGGCCACACUGGGACUGAGACACGGCCCAGACUCCUACGGGAGGCAGCAGUAGGGAAUCUUCCGCAAUGGACGAAAGUCUGACGGAGCAACGCCGCGUGAGUGAUGAAGGUUUUCGGAUCGUAAAGCUCUGUUGUUAGGGAAGAACAAGUGCCGUUCAAAUAGGGCGGCACCUUGACGGUACCUAACCAGAAAGCCACGGCUAACUACGUGCCAGCAGCCGCGGUAAUACGUAGGUGGCAAGCGUUGUCCGGAAUUAUUGGGCGUAAAGGGCUCGCAGGCGGUUUCUUAAGUCUGAUGUGAAAGCCCCCGGCUCACCGGGGAGGGUCAUGGAAACUGGGGAACUUGAGUGCAGAAGAGGAGAGUGGAAUUCCACGUGUAGCGGUGAAAUGCGUAGAGAUGUGGAGGAACACCAGUGGCGAACGCGACUCUCUGGUCUGUAACUGACGCUGAGGAGCGAAAGCGUGGGGAGCGAACAGG
rnacentral:rRNA from 1 species